rnacentral:tRNA from 1 species
GAGCCUUUAUACUCAAAUGGCAGAGGAAAGCAGCUACAUCUACAAGUUGCCAGAAUCCUGGUUCGAUUCCAGGAAGGCUCACCA